CCUACGGGAGGCAGCAGUGAGGAAUAUUGGUCAAUGGACGGGAGUCUGAACCAGCCAAGUAGCGUGCAGGAUGACUGCCCUAUGGGUUGUAAACUUCUUUUAUAUGGGAAUAAAAUGUUCCACGUGUGGGAUUUUGUAUGUACCAUAUGAAUAAGGAUCGGCUAACUCCGUGCCAGCAGCCGCGGUAAUACGGAGGAUCCGAGCGUUAUCCGGAUUUAUUGGGUUUAAAGGGAGCGUAGGUGGAUUGUUAAGUCAGUUGUGAAAGUUUGCGGCUCAACCGUAAAAUUGCAGUUGAUACUGGCAGUCUUGAGUACAGUAGAGGUGGGCGGAAUGCGUGGUGUAGCGGUGAAAUGCUUAGAUAUCACGAAGAACCCCGAUUGCGAAGGCAGUUCACUGGACUGCAACUGACACUGAGGCUCGAAAGUGUGGGUAUCAAACAGGAUUAGAUACCCGUGUAGUC
rnacentral:rRNA from 1 species